UUGAAUCAAGUAUAGAGGUUGCAUCCAGAAAGAAAGGAGCGAUUAUCACUAUCUAAGCAACAUGGGAGAGGAGUAUGGGAAGGGGUGGGGAGGUAGGUGAUGGUGGUGGUGUCGUUGACAACAUUAAGAGAGGGAAGGGGAGAGGUUAACAUUGAGAUGAACUCGACCCAACAGCUUGGCAUCGCGCACCCAGUAGGAAUGACCUAUUGGGUCGUUGUAAACGGAGCGAACAAGGAUAAGAGACUUUCCGGAAAGGCGACAGGGUCGAGUUCGAAGGUCGGGGCAAAGGUGGUGGUGUCAGGGGUGAAAGCCGAGGUGAAGAGAGGGAGAAUGGUGGUUACCCAUGUUAGCCAUGGUAACGAGGAAGAGAAAAUUUCAUCAAACAUGUAAUCACAUGUUUGCAAUGAAACAUUUCAUCACGUGGCAAGACGUUAAAAUGUCAUCAAACAUGUAAUCACAUGUUUGCAAUGAAACAUUUCAUCACGUGGCAAGACGUUAGCCAGCUUAGUCAUUUUUUAACCGCAUUAGUUUUGGAGGACGAAAAAUUAUAGUUUCCUUAAGAACAAGGAUCAAAAUGUACCAAAGUUUGACAGAAGAAACUAAAACUAAAAUUGCUUGAUAGUUAAGGGACUAAAAACAAAAUAAAAUUACUAAAUUAAGAUUUUUCAUAUGACAUUCUCACCGUCACUGCCAC
rnacentral:lncRNA from 1 species